AGUGAACGCUGGCGGUAGGCCUAACACAUGCAUGUCGAACGGCAGCACAGUAAGAGCUUGCUCUUACGGGUGGCGAGUGGCGGACGGGUGAGGAAUACAUCGGAAUCUACUUUUUCGUGGGGGAUAACGUAGGGAAACUUACGCUAAUACCGCAUACGACCUACGGGUGAAAGCAGGGGAUCUUCGGACCUUGCGCGAUUGAAUGAGCCGAUGUCGGAUUAGCUAGUUGGCGGGGUAAAGGCCCACCAAGGCGACGAUCCGUAGCUGGUCUGAGAUGAUGAUCAGCCACACUGGAACUGAAACACGGUCCAGACUCCUACUGGAAGCAACAGUGGGGAAUAUUGGACAAUGGGCCCAAGCCUGGUCCAGCCAUACCGCCUGGGUGAAGAAAGCCUUCUGGUUUUAAAACCCUUUUGUUUGGAAAGAAAAGCAGCAAGUUAAUACCCCGGUGUUCUGACGUUACCCAAAGAAUAAGCACCGGCUAACUUCGUG
rnacentral:rRNA from 1 species